rnacentral:rRNA from 1 species
ACUCCUACGGGAGGCAGCAGUAGGGAAUCUUCCACAAUGGGCGCAAGCCUGAUGGAGCAAUACCGCGUGAGUGAAGAAGGGUUUCGGCUCGCAAAACUCUGUUGUUGAAGAAGAACGUGCGUGAGGGUAACUGUUCAUGCAGUGACGGUAUUCAACCAGAAAGUCACGGCUAACUACGUGCCAGCAGCCGCGGUAAUACGUAGGUGGCAAGCGUUAUCCGGAUUUAUUGGGCGUAAAGCGAGCGCAGGCGGUUACUUAAGUCUGAUGUGAAAGCCUUCGGCUUAACCGAAGAAGUGCAUCGGAAACUGGGUGACUUGAGUGCAGAAGAGGACAGUGGAACUCCAUGUGUAGCGGUGGAAUGCGUAGAUAUAUGGAAGAACACCAGUGGCGAAGGCGGCUGUCUGGUCUGCAACUGACGCUGAGGCUCGAAAGCAUGGGUAGCGAACAGGAUUAGAUACCCUGGUAGUC